rnacentral:rRNA from 1 species
AGUGAACGCUGGCGGUAGGCCUAACACAUGCAAGUCGAACGGCAGCACAGUAAGAGUUUGCUCUUACGGGUGGCGAGUGGCGGACGGGUGAGGAAUACAUCGGAAUCUACUUUUUCGGGGGGGAUAACGUAGGGAAACUUACGCUAAUACCGCAUACGACCUACGGGUGAAAGCAGGGGAUCUUCGGACCUUGCGCGAUUGAAUGAGCCGAUGUCGGAUUAGCUAGUUGGCGGGGUAAAGGCCCACCAAGGCGACGAUCCGUAGCUGGUCUGAGAGGAUGAUCAGCCACACUGGAACUGAGACACGGCCCAGACUCCUACGGGAGGCAGCAGUGGGGAAUAUUGGUCAAUGGGCGCAAGCCUGAUCCAGCCAUACCGCGUGGGUGAAGAAGGCCUUCGGGUUGUAAAGCCCUUUUGUUGGGAAAGAAAAGCAGCAGGUUAAUACCCCGCUGUUCUGACGGUACCCAAAGAAUAAGCACCGGCUAACUUCGUG